AACAUUUGAGUCUAAAAAUGUUGGACAGGC
rnacentral:piRNA from 1 species